rnacentral:rRNA from 1 species
AUACGUAGGUGGCAAGCGUUGUCCGGAUUUACUGGGUGUAAAGGGCGUGUAGGCGGAGAUGCAAGUCAGGAGUGAAAUCUAGGGGCUCAACCCCUAAACUGCUUUUGAAACUGUAUCCCUUGAGUAUCGGAGAGGCAGGCGGAAUUCCUAGUGUAGCGGUGAAAUGCGUAGAUAUUAGGAGGAACACCAGUGGCGAAGGCGGCCUGCUGGACGACAACUGACGCUGAGGCGCGAAAGCGUGGGGAGCAAACAGGAUUAGGUACCCUGGUAGUCCACGCUGUAAACGAUGAAUACUAGGUGUGGGGGGACUGACCCCCUCCGUGCCGCAGUUAACACAAUAAGUAUUCCACCUGGGGAGUACGAUCGCAAGAUUGAAACUCAAAGGAAUUGACGGGG